rnacentral:rRNA from 1 species
AUUGAACGCUGGCGGCAGGCCUAACACAUGCAAGUCGAACGAGUUGCGGACGGGUUAGUAAUGUCUGGGAAACUGCCCGAUGGCGGGGGAUAACUACUGGAAACGGUAGCUAAUACCGCAUACCAUCGGAUGUGCCCAUAUGGGAUUAGCUAGUAGGUGGGGUAAUGGCUCACCUAGGCGAGGAACCCUAGCUGGUCUGAGAGGAUGACAAGCCAAACUGGAACUGAGACACGGGCCAGACUCCUACGGGAGGCAGCAGUGGGGAAUAUUGCACAAUGGGCGCAAGCCUGAUGCAGCCAUGCCGCGUGUAUGAAGAAGGCCUUCGGGUUGUAAAGUACUUUCAGCGAGGAGGCGUUACUCGCAGAAGAAGCACCGGCUAACUCCGUGCCAGCAGCCGCGGUAAUAC